rnacentral:misc_RNA from 1 species
AAUGGCAAGCAGCUAGGCAAGAUACCAAGACUAGAGUAUCCAAUUGUACCUCUUCUUUUAUAACUCAACUACUUUUUACACUUAUUUCUUGCAUUUCUUUGAUCUUCUCUUGCUGAAAGAUAAAGAAGUGCUGAUGAUCUACCCCUAUGCCUCUUUAAACGUAAAGGUUUAGUUCAUAUAUUGUGAAUCAGUACUUCUUCCAAGAACUUAAUUGGCUGAUAUAUCGAAACCCCAUAUCCAUAAACAUCCUGGAGUACUGUAAGCAGAAAGAAACAGAAAAAUGGGAGUUGCAGGCGCUUUGGAGUACUUGUCUGACAUGCUAAGCAGUGUGAAAAAGCGCAAGAAAAAGAAGCAGAUACAAACUGUAGCACUCAAAGUGAGGAUGGACUGUGAGGGCUGUGAACGUAAGGUCAAGAGCGUCCUCUCCGGAGUUAAAGGUAUAUAUAUAUAUAUUAAAAUUGCCAUUGCCUUUUCUUCAUGCAUGCAGCUUCAGUAUUCUAAUGGUUAAUUACAUCUUCAUUCUGUGUCCUUUUAGGAGUUAAAUCUGUGGAUGUAGACUUGAAGCAGCAGAAGGUGACCGUGACUGGAUAUGUAGAGCCAAAGAAAGUGUUGAAGGCAGCUCAAUCUACCAAAAAGAAGGUAGAGCCGUGGCCUUAUGUCCCCUACAGUUUAGUGGCAAAUCCAUACGUUUCUCAGGCCUAUGACAAGAAGGCUCCUCCUAAUCAUGUCAGAGCCGUUCCGGUCACCGCAACCAUCACUGAGACCACCGUGGACGAUCACUACACUAAUAUGUUCAGUGAUGAGAACCCAAAUGCUUGCUCCAUCAUGUAGAUUAUCAACAAUAAUUAAUAACUAAUUAAGCCAGAUAUAUUUUAUACAAAGUAAUUAAUUAUAAAGGUAAUCCAGGUGUGACAAUGCUCCAUUUUCUUUUUCAAGAAGACAAGGCCGUUAGAUUGUUUUGUGGUGGACGUGGAGGUUUAUAUGUGGGCAGUGUUGUUGUUUAUUAUGAAAUAGCGUGAGCUGUUACGCGACAGCAACGUUUGUCUUAAAUAAUGGUGCAUUUUUUUAACAGAAAAUAAUGUUGGAUUAAGUUCUGUGAUUGAAGGUUGAUUCAGUCAAAAAAAGAUUGAAA